rnacentral:rRNA from 1 species
CUACGGGUCGCUCCAGGCGCGAAACUUCUACAAUGCGCGCAAGCGUGAUAGAGGGAUUUCGAGUGCUAGCUUUGCUAGCUUUUGCCAAGUGUAGAUAGCUUGGCGAAUAAGUGCUGGGUAAGAUGCGUGCCAGCCGCCGCGGUAAUACGUACAGCACAAGUGGUGUCCACUAAUAUUGGGCCUAAAGCAUCUGUAGCCGGUCCAGUAAGUCCUUGGUGAAAUCAAUGAGCUCAACUUAUUGAAUGGCUAAGGAUACUGCUGAGACUCGAGAGCGGAAGACGUAAAGGGAAUUCCAGGAGUAGGAGUGAAAUCUAGUGAUCCUUGGAGGACCUCCAGUAGCGAAGGCGCUUUACGAGGACGUUUCUGACGGUGAGAGAUGAAAGCUGGGGGAGCGACCCGGAUUAGAUACCCUGGUAGUC